rnacentral:rRNA from 1 species
CCUACGGGAGGCAGCAGUGGGGGAUAUUGCACAAUGGGGGAAACCCUGAUGCAGCGACGCCGCGUGAGGGAAGAAGUAUUUCGGUAUGUAAAGCUCUAUCAUCAGGGAAGAAAAUGACAGUACCUGACCAAGAAGCCCCGGCUAACUACGUGCCAGCAGCCGCGGUAAUACGGAGGGGGCAAGCGUUAUUCGGAUUGACUGGGUGUAAAGAGGGCGUAGGCGGUUUUGUAAGUCUGGAGUGAAAGCCCGUGGCGCAACCACAGGACUGCUUUGGAAAUUGUGUAACUGGAGUGUAGGAGGGGUAGGCGGAAUUCCUGGUGUAGCGGUGAAAUGCGUAGAGAUCAGGAGGAACACCGGGGGCGAAGGCGACCUGCUGGAAUAAAACUGACGUUGAGGCUCGAAAGCGUGGGGAGCAAACAGGAUUAGAUACCCGAGUAGUC